CCACACCUUCAUUACCUCCUCCUUCCUCCACCUCUGAUCCGCUCGGUCUGCACCUUACUCCCAGAAGAACGGAGAAGCCCGAAUCGUUCGCUGCACAUUGCAGAGCGGCAAAGGUGCUGCAUACAAAGGUAUUCUGUUAACCAGCCAAGACAGGACUGUAGACGUCAUUUCAAAAAUCAUGACAAAAUACCAUCUAGACGUGGAGGAAGCAGAAAAGUACCAGCUUGUGCAGGUCAUUUCAGAGCACAAAGAGCUAGUCUUCCCGCAGGGAGCAAACGUGUUCUCUGAAAUGAACAGCCAGGGCAAUGCAGACUUCAGUAUAAGAAGAAAACCAGCUUCUGUUGUCACGCCAGGGCCUGCCGAAAUCAAGAAAAAGAGGAGGCGCCUACCUCGCCUCUUUAGAGGCAGCAGGCUCAGACCUGAAUGAAAGCUUUUUAAAAGGGAGCUGACAUAAAUAACACCGUCAGGCUGGGGGACA